UAUGCAAUUUUUCAUGAAUGUGUACGGGUUGUGAAGAAAGUACCUUUUGUUAUUUUAUCGAAAUCCUAGCAUAAUCGUCAUUUCUACUUAGCGGGGCCUACCUGGCUAGCUAACUAACAGUAGCUCGCUAACGUUAACUGUCUUUCACCAACUAACAAGGGUUAGGUAACGUUAGCUACAACUAACUACCUAGUAUUAAUUAACUAUGCCAUUUGUUCCUUCGUAUUGGCAAUUAACGUUACUUUACAAUGACAAAAUGGGUUUGAGGUUCUACUCAAUUAUCUAGCUAACGUCAAUUGACUAAAUCUGCAAACCACCGUGGACUGUGUGCUAUGUGUAUCCAUUGUCACUGCAUUUUUGCCACUCAUGUUAGGUUGCCUAUGGAUUAUCCUAGGAGGCCAAAAGUGGCCACCACAUCUGACUAGAGAAUAAAACCAUGCUGAGGCCAGAUGGAAUGACCUAUUUCUCUGUCACGAUGAUAAUGCCAUCAUAGUAGCUACUUGCCACACAAGUGUCAAUAACGGAACUGUGUGUAUGCAUAUCGGUCUGCUCAUUACAUUUUUCAAAUGAACGGAUGUGGCCUUUUUUUUGCUUACUUAGCGUCGAGAUCCAGCUAUCAAUUAUCUUUGUGCACGCUAGUUAGCAACUCUUAGCAUUUAAGUUUGGUUUUCAAAAGAAACGAAGUGGUGGCAGAAUAUCACCCUGUUAAACCUGCAUAAAUUGCAGGUAGUUUACAUGGAUGGGCCUAAUGGAAGAAAGCGGAUGUGGACAGUUUACCCAAACAAAAUGACACAAUUACUGUUGACUAAUCCCAUUCCGUACAAAUUUGCGCAACCGCGGCAUUGAAACGAGACUGCAAUGAAAACUAAUAGGACUGUGUUGGCAUCAAAAUCUGGGUUGUGAACUACGUUUCUAUUGACAUGGUAAUAUCCCGAUAGUAUUGGAGAAAAGUUGAACAAACGGACCCCUCUGACGCUAUGUUAAAUUGUGACGUGUCAUGACGUAACGUACAAGUAGCGUACGCACGCAUUAUGCAACUCAUUCUGUGUCGUACAGCCUCUCUCCACCAGGUGUAGCGCUUCUCUCGCAGUUUACAAACAAGAAAGGGACAGGCUAAGGGGGAUGGAUACCUAGUCAAUUGUACAACUGAAUGCAUUCAUUUUUUUGCAUAAUCGCUGCAAGCCACCAUGACUCUCAAAAGCCGCGACAGCAGCUGUUUACUUCUGAAGAUAACUUUUGUGCCGCCCUAAAAAACCGACUCGAACUUGACAAACUUCAAAAAGGUAGUAGAAAGCUGGUGACAUCGAGAGUUCUCCUUCCGACAAACUGCUAUCAGCUCUCCUGUGAACCUCUCCCAGAGAUCAACCAAGUGCUAUUCACCAAGCAUGGGAUAAUGUCGGUGGGUGGAGCUGGGAGGGUCGUCUGCGAGAUGGGACACACCUUGGCUCAGGUGUGUCCUGGCGAUAAAUACUUUCCCCACAUACCUAGAGGAGACUUUCCUCGCAGACACAAAGUUUUUGUUCGGGUGUUUUGGGGCUUCUUUGUUUAUUUAUUUUGGCACCUCUCAACUCCCCUCAUCACAUCAAUGCACGCAUCCACUCACACUACUGACUAAACACCAUUGUUACUUGUAUCUAAGUUACUUUAUUUAAUAAAUAUAUUUUUGUGAUUUCUUUCUUAGUCGUCUCUUUGUUACGGGGUACGAGCCAGUUCGUAGCAGGUUCUUAUUGCACAAGCGCAUUGUACAACUGUUUUUGGAGAAGAUCGUAUCGCAAGUUAUGCGAUAUGUCUAGGCUAUGCCAUAUGUAUUAGCUAAUAUGCAUAUGCAGCUGUCGUUUUGAAACAUCCAUUCUAGCAUAUUUGACACACCUUUCUAUCUCCAUGCUUUUAUUUGGUUUUCUAUGCAAAGUAUAUGAUUGAGUAUUUAUUUAAGCCUGCAUCUAGUUACUUGAAAUGAGACAUGUAAUCAUGCCAAAACAUGAUUCAAUUGUAUUCACUGACAGAGCGAUGACUAAUGAAACACACACAGACAUUUAGCUGAGUAGGAUUGUGAUUUGACAUAAAAAGCAUUUUCACAAAAAUUAAUUUUGUAUCUGCCUUCCCAAUGGAAACUAGUCCAAAUGUAUUUUCUAUGUACAGAGAUGUACGUUUCUGGAUGAUGCAACAUGCUGCCUUGUUGACAACUUGACCGAGCGGUGGAUAUUACUGUUCGAUUUGAGAAGGACGCUCCUCCCUCACCGCUUUUGUCCUUUCACGUCACGGGCCAUAGACGGGUGCACCACGGCCCCGGUUAAUAGAACGCUCUCAUUGGUUUUCUUACUCUGAACAGUCUAUGGACAAGGUAUAGCAGCAAUCUAUGCUUUGGUUUAGUUUCCCUUGCAGUGGCUGGCACGGUUCCAUUUGUGUCACACAUCCUAUUCAAGCAAACUAAACCAGAGCAUGGAUUGCUUGUCCAUAAACUCAGGGACACAACUUUGAAUUGGGACAUUUGCUAAAUUGCCGCUAUAGCCAAUCGAGUAGACUACACAUCCCCUAGUAGUAGGCCUACGUCUUAAUGAUAUCUUUAUUUAAUCCCCCUCCUUGAUUGGUUUUUCUCCAGUGCCUUCUAUGUCCUCACUGGGCCAGUUGGUGCUGUUCUGUUUGUUCCAAUCAGGUAAACAUGCCAAGUGUGCUUCCCCAUUUGGUACACUGAGCCAAUUCAUUCUCAUAGGUCAAAAUGUGUUUGUUACAAAGACAAGAUCCCCUGGCUGCUAUGCACAAAUAGAUUCCCUCUGAAUAUUUUUGCUGACAUCAUAAUCAAAAUACCAACGAGCAAGUAAAGAGGAUUUGUCAAUGGAUUUUCCCCUGCUUAACUGGCUUGUUAAGCGUAAUUGUAUAUCAAUUACUGCUGAAUUGUAGGUAACAUAUUGAUAAGGGUAUUACAGCAUUUUUUGGUAGAUAGCCUUAAUGCGCCAUUUGUUUCUCUCUUUAGCCUAC